UCUCAAGCUAUCAGCUCUGUGGGAAGAAAUUGGAUGGUAAUAGACCAGAGUUCUCAAACCCUCAGCUCUCUGAAGAGAAAUUGGAAGGAGAGAUUAAGUAAAAGCUGUUCUGUUUGGCAGAAUGUGAAUUAGUAGUAAGGAUAGAAUGGAGGUUGCCUCCAUCCAGUACGGUCGCUAUCCAUUGUACAUUAUUCUCCUACACAAAGUUUGGAUAGUUUUAUCAUAGCUAAACAUGGUAUGCAUACAAUUACCAUUCAAAAUUUUAUUUUCCUUAUUACUUGUGUAAUAUCUUUCAUGUAUGUGAAGAGGUUUAUACCCCAUAGAAACCAUAUCUUUUUGUAAAUUAACCAAACAUAUUUGGUUGUAUUAAAUAUAAAAA
rnacentral:misc_RNA from 1 species